rnacentral:rRNA from 1 species
GACGAACGCUGGCGGUAUGCUUAACACAUGCAAGUCGAGCGAGAAUCGUUUAUUGAAGGCUUCGGCUGGAAAUAGAUGAGGAAAGCGGCGAACGGGUGAGUAACGCGUGGGCAACCUGGCCUUAAGAAAAGGAUAGCCCCCGGAAACGGGGAGUAAUACUUUAUGAGAAUGAAAGAGGGCAUCCUACCUUCAUUCAAAGCGCAAGCGCUUAAGGAUGGGCCCGCGUAUCAUUAGCUAGUUGGUGAGAUAACAGCCCACCAAGGCAACGAUGAUUAGCCGGUCUGAGAGGGCGAACAGCCACAUUGGAACUGAGAGACGGUCCAAACUCCUACGGGAGGCAGCAGUGGGGAAUAUUGCGCAAUGGAGAAGAACUCUGACGCAGCAAUACCGCGUGAGCGAAGAAGGUCUUCGGAUCGUAAAGCUCUGUUAUCAGGGAAGAAGAAAAUGACGGUACCUGAUGAGCAAGUCCCGGCUAACUACGUGCCAGCCGCCGCGGUAA